rnacentral:rRNA from 1 species
CCAGCCGCUGCGGUAAUUCCAGCUCCAAUGGCAUAUAUUAAAGUUGUUGCAGUUAAAAAGCUCGUAGUUGGAUUUCUGGUAGGGCGCCAAUGUCAGCUGAUGCUUGUGCAGCGGUGCCCUUCCAUCCUUCUGUUAACGUUUCUGAUAUUGAUUUAUUGGUCUCGGGCUCAGAUAUUUUACCUUGAGAAAAUUAGAGUGUUCCAGGCAGGCUUGCGCCGGAAUACAUUAGCAUGGAAUAAUAGAAUAGGACUUUAGUCUCCUUUGUUGGUUUGAGGGACUGAAGUAAUGAUUAAUAGGGAUAGUUGGGGGCAUUAGUAUUUAAUUGUCAGAGGUGAAAUUCUCGGAUUUGUUAAAGACUAACUUAUGCGAAAGCAUUUGCCAAGGAUGUUUUCAUUAAUCAAC